rnacentral:rRNA from 1 species
ACUCCUACGGGAGGCAGCAGUGGGGAAUAUUGCACAAUGGGCGAAAGCCUGAUGCAGCGACGCCGCGUGAGGGAUGACGGCCUUCGGGUUGUAAACCUCUUUCAGCAGGGACGAAGCGCAAGUGACGGUACCUGCAGAAGAAGCACCGGCUAACUACGUGCCAGCAGCCGCGGUAAUACGUAGGGUGCAAGCGUUGUCCGGAAUUACUGGGCGUAAAGAGUUCGUAGGCGGUUUGUCGCGUCGUUUGUGAAAACCAGCAGCUCAACUGCUGGCUUGCAGGCGAUACGGGCAGACUUGAGUACUGCAGGGGAGACUGGAAUUCCUGGUGUAGCGGUGAAAUGCGCAGAUAUCAGGAGGAACACCGGUGGCGAAGGCGGGUCUCUGGGCAGUAACUGACGCUGAGGAACGAAAGCGUGGGUAGCGAACAGGAUUAGAUACCCUGGUAGUCCACGCCGUAAACGGUGGGCGCUAGGUGUGGGUUCCUUCCACGGAAUCCGUGCCGUAGCUAACGCAUUAAGCGCCCCGCCUGGGGAGUACGGCCGCAAGGCUAAAACUCAAAGGAAUUGACGGGGGCCCGCACAAGCGGCGGAGCAUGUGGAUUAAUUCGAUGCAACGCGAAGAACCUUACCUGGGUUUGACAUAUACCGGAAAGCUGCAGAGAUGUGGCCCCCCUUGUGGUCGGUAUACAGGUGGUGCAUGGCUGUCGUCAGCUCGUGUCGA